rnacentral:rRNA from 1 species
UACGUAGGGUGCAAGCGUUAAUCGGAAUUACUGGGCGUAAAGCGUGCGCAGGCGGCUUUGCAAGACAGAUGUGAAAUCCCCGGGCUUAACCUGGGAACUGCAUUUGUGACUGCAUGGCUGGAGUGCGGCAGAGGGGAUGGAAUUCCGGCGUGUAGCAGUGAAAUGCGUAGAUAUCUGGAGGAACACCGGUGGCGAAGGCGGCAUCCUGGACCGGCAUUGACGCUGAGGCGCGAAAGCCAGGGGAGCAAAGCGGG